rnacentral:rRNA from 1 species
GAUAAACGCUGGCGGCGCACAUAAGACAUGCAAGUCGAACGGACUUAACUCAUUCUUUUAGAUUGAGAGCGGUUAGUGGCGGACUGGUGAGUAACACGUAAGCAACCUGCCUAUCAGAGGGGAAUAACAGUGAGAAAUCAUUGCUAAUACCGCAUAAGCUAGUAGCAUCGCAUGAUGUAGCUAGAAAAGGAGUAAUCCGCUGAUAGAUGGGCUUGCGUCUGAUUAGCUAGUUGGUGGGGCAACGGCCUACCAAGGCGACGAUCAGUAGCCGGACUGAGAGGUUGAACGGCAACAUUGGGACUGAGAUACGGCCCAGACUCCUACGGGAGGCAGCAGUCGGGAAUAUUGCGCAAUGGAGGAAACUCUGACGCAGUGACGCCGCGUAUAGGAAGAAGGUUUUCGGAUCGUAAACUAUUGUCGUGAGGGAAGAAAUUGACAGUACCUCAGGAGGAAGCUCCGGCUAACUAUGUGCCAGCAGCCGCCGUAA